rnacentral:rRNA from 1 species
GUGCCAGCAGCCGCGGUAAUACGGAGGAUCCAAGCGUUAUCCGGAAUCAUUGGGUUUAAAGGGUCCGUAGGCGGUCUGGUAAGUCAGUGGUGAAAGCCCAUCGCUCAACGGUGGAACGGCCAUUGAUACUGCUGGACUUGAAUUAUUAGGAAGUAACUAGAAUAUGUAGUGUAGCGGUGAAAUGCUUAAAGAUUACAUGGAAUACCAAUUGCGAAGGCAGGUUACUACUAAUGGAUUGACGCUGAUGGACGAAAGCGUGGGUAGCGAACAGGAUUAGAUACCCUGGUACUCCACGCCGUAAACGAUGGAUACUAGCUGUUGGAAGCAAUUUCAGUGGCUAAGCGAAAGUGAUAAGUAUCCCACCUGGGGAGUACGUUCGCAAGAAUGAAACUCAAAGGAAUUGACGGGGGCCCGCACAAGCGGUGGAGCAUGUGGUUUAAUUCGAUGAUACGCGAGGAACCUUACCAAGGCUUAAAUGCAGACUGACCGAUUUGGAAACAUAUCUUUCGCAAGACAGUUUACAAGGUGCUGCAUGGUUGUCGUCAGCUCGUGCCGUGAGGUGUCAGGUUAAGUCCUAUAACGAGCGCAACCCCCUGUUGUUAGUUGCCAGCGAGUAGUGUCGGGAACUCUAACAAGACUGCCAGUGCAAACUGUGAAGAAGGGGGGGGGAAUGACGUCAAAUCAUCACGGCCCUUUACGCCUUGGCUACACACGUGCUACAAUGGCCGAGUACAGAGAGCAGCCAUCUCGUGGAGGGGAGGAGCGUAUUCUAUAAAACCGGUCACAGUUCCGGAUCGGAGUCUGCACUCGACUCCGGUGAAGCUAGGAAUCGCUAGUAAUCAGAUAUCAGCGAUGAUGCGGAAUGAAUACGUUCCCCGAGUCUUUGCUACCACACCGCCGUCGAAAGGACUAUUUCCGAUUAAGCUAGCAGGAACUAGUUCCGUUAAGGUGAGAGGGAUUUAACUUCUGGAAGCCUUGGGC